rfam:Oryza brachyantha chromosome 5, whole genome shotgun sequence.
ACUGUUGUGAUGAGCCUUAACAUGUAAGAAGGCCUCACAAUUGCAUUGGGUCUUCUGUGAAAUAAUUUACGUUUGGCUUCUGAGCAUC